CUGCAAAUACCCUGUGAAAUCGUCCCGCCCAACGGGGCGGCGUGCAGGGUAGACUACAGGACUAGGGACCAGGUGAGGUGGACGGUAUUCCGUGGGGAGCGGUAAAAUGUGAUAAUCCUCGGAGGACCACCAAUGGCGAAGGCAGUUCACCAAAAUGGAUCCGACGGUGAGGGAUGAAAGCUAGGGGAGCGAUCCGGAUUAGAUACCCGAGUAGUCCUAGCUGUAAACUCUGCGUGCCAGAUGUUGCGUAAUCUCCGAGAUUGCGCAGUGUCGUAACGAAGGUGUUAAGCACGCCACCUGGGAAGUACGGUCGCAAGGCUGAAACUUAAAGGAAUUGGCGGGGAGACACCACAACGGGUGCGGCGUGCGGUUUAAUCGUAUUCAACACCGAGAAUCUCACCAGGGGCGACGGCACGAUGACGCUCAGUCUGAAGGGCUUAGCUGAGGAGCCGAGAGGUGGUGCAUGGCCGCCGUCAGCUCGUGCCGUGUGGUGUCCUGUUAAGUCAGGCAACGAGCGAGACCUGUAUCC
rnacentral:rRNA from 1 species